GAUGAACGCUGGCGGCGUGCCUAAUACAUGCAAGUCGAGCGAACGGACGAGAAGCUUGCUUCUCUGAUGUUAGCGGCGGACGGGUGAGUAACACGUGGAUAACCUACCUAUAAGACUGGGAUAACUUCGGGAAACCGGAGCUAAUACCGGAUGAUAUUUUGAACCGCACGGUUCAAAAGUGAAAGACGGUCUUGCUGUCACUUAUAGAUGGAUCCGCGCUGCAUUAGCUAGUUGGUAAGGUAACGGCUUACCAAGGAAACGAUGCAUAGCCGACCUGAGAGGGUGAUCGGCCACACUGGAACUGAGACACGGUCCAGACUCCUACGGGAGGCAGCAGUAGGGAAUCUUCCGCAAUGGGCGAAAGCCUGACGGAGCAACGCCGCGUGAGUGAUGAAGGUCUUCGGAUCGUAAAACUCUGUUAUUAGGGAAGAACAUAUGUGUAAGUAACUGUGCACAUCUUGACGGUACCUAAUCAGAAAGCCACGGCUAACUACGUG
rnacentral:rRNA from 1 species